AUGCAGUCGAGCGAAGCGCCUGGAAGUUUUCGGACAGAAGGGUGACUGAGCGGCGGACGGGUGAGUAACGCGUGGGUAAUCUGCCUCAUACAGGGGAAUAACAGCUAGAAAUGGCUGCUAAUGCCGCAUAAGCGCACAGGACCGCAUGGUCUGGUGUGAAAAACUCCGGUGGUAUGAGAUGAACCCGCGUCUGAUUAGUUAGUUGGCAGGGUAACGGCCUACCAAGACGACGAUCAGUAGCCGGCCUGAGAGGGUGGACGGCCACAUUGGGACUGAGACACGGCCCAGACUCCUACGGGAGGCAGCAGUGGGGAAUAUUGCACAAUGGGGGAAACCCUGAUGCAGCAACGCCGCGUGAGUGAAGAAGUAUUUCGGUAUGUAAAGCUCUAUCAGCAGGGAAGAAAAUGACGGUACCUGAGUAAGAAGCCCCGGCUAACUACGUGCCAGCAGCCGCGGUAAUACGUAGGGGGCAAGCGUUAUCCGGAUUUACUGGGUGUAAAGGGAGCGUAGACGGCGAGGCAAGUCUGAUGUGAAAGCCUGGGGCUUAACCCCGGAACUGCAUUGGAAACUGCUUUGCUGGAGUGCC
rnacentral:rRNA from 1 species